UUCAAGACUCUGGACUGAACCUGCAAAGCUGCAGAAUAUUCUCAAGCAUAAAGGAGCUCUCCUUUAGAAAAGGAAUCAAAAGUGUAGUCAAAGCUUGGGCCUUCUUGUGAACGUCAGAUGGACAACGACAAAAGGCAGGUAAUAGUCCCCAACACCCACGGGCAUAAGCCUGUAGUUCUUCUUGAAUUACUGAUUUUUUAACUUGCAAAAAGAACAAAUUUAAUUCCAGAUGUAGGUAAAGCAACUUUUUGGAUGCAACUCUCAAGUCUAAAACAGGAAACUGAGAUUUAUCCUGACUCCACUCUUCCCGAUCAGAGAAAAGAUAGUGAUACUUCGCUAUUUAAUUGCCAUAGAAAGAGUUACUAUUUAUCCUAUAACCAUGCUUAUCUGUGAAGUAUUAAAUUGUACCACUGAGUCAAACAUACAAAAGCACAACAACAUAUGCCUACCUUUUGAUGAUGCUUGUUCGAAGGACACAACAAGUGGCACCACAUGCUUCAUAAAGAACCCAAGUGAUGAUCCACAUACAUAUUUAUUUAAAACAGGAAUCAACCAACUGUUUGACAAAGAGUAAUCCUUCAUAUUCAGGAAAACUGUUUCUCUGGUCCCAUAGCAAUAACAGCUGAUCCCAUGCACUCCUGAAGCUGCGUAGAAAACAAAGAAAGGGAAAGUAAUUACAAAAGUUUUAGGUUCAUAACGUUUUUGAACAACAACUGUAUUUAAAAGAUAAGAAAAUCAUUCUUACUAAUAAACCAAAAAAAUAAAGUUCCUAACAUAAUAAAGUGAAUAAAUGAGCUUCUUGAAACAUAAGACUUACAUUUUUUGUAUCAUAAGCACCCCCAGAAGCAACAAUCAUCCAAUCAGCAACUUUAAGUAUUAUACCCUUCACACAGAAGUCCAAGACCUCACCUAAAGACAUAAGAUGCAAAUACAGUAAGAACAAAGAACUGUGAAAGAGAAAAUUGCAAGGGAAGUAGUGACUAUUGAAAGCUCUAUCGCGGGUUGUCAAUGUCUACCUACCCAAUUUAAGGAACAUAACGAAGAGGAUUGCCAAUAUAUGGUCAUUUGGGUAUUCAGAAGAGCUGAGAAGCAUGUAUUCAAAGACUAAACAAGUAGCUUUAACUGCUUCAAAUUCAGAAGAACUGAGAGCCUCAUCAUCCACUGUCUGCUUUUUACCGGUCAAAAACUUUUUCCCGUCAAUACGACCAUUAAUCAAUUCUUUCAAAAUAUGACCACAAUCUUGGGUCUUUUCACAGGUAGUUGGUUUUGGCUCUGACAUUUGGUUUUCAUCAUAGGCGGUUUCACAGCAACAACUACAUCCCCUAUUGUAGAAUUUAUAAAUAUUAUCUCUAGCAAUGUAAAUAGCCAACAAUCACUAUCAUAUGUAAAUGUGAGCAUCCGGUAGUACGUUAUUUCCAUGAUUGUAUAAAACAUACAUUUGAACCCAUUUUCAUCAAUUGAUACAAGUUAAAAUAAUUUCAAAACAAAUGGUAACAAGUUGCGAAGGAGAAACAGUGAAGUAUAAAAUUAACAAACCCAGAAUUUUUUUUCUUUACAUAUCAUUAAGUUUACCUUUUUCGUUGAUCUUUACAUGACUUUUGAACAUGAAGAUGGAAAAAAAUUUCUUUCAUGAAGUAUCUUUGAAGGGCACGAUCGGAGUCCAGAAAUAAGAAAUAACCACAUAAAAAUUUAAGGUGGAGAGAAUAAAAAUACGAAAGAACCAAAAUAAAAUUAAAAGUUUAGAGAUUCAGAUCUGCAUGAAAAUAUAAAUCAAAACUGUACAAAAUAAAGGAAAAGCAUGCAAUUUCUACGCAAGAAGAGAUAUUUCAACUUUUUUCCUAAUUUGGACGCAAGAGCAGAGAAACAGCUAGGAGAAGAUGAGAGAAAUACCACUAAAUUUUUCAAUGGCAUAGCUGAAGCUCGUAAUAGCUGUUCGAUUCACCAUGAUGAAGUCUCCGUGGUGUAGCUGAAGCUGAGAAAACCUGACCAAAAAUAGCUACAUGAAGCAGCGUUGAAUAUCUUCCAGAGAAAAGAGAUAUAUCCGAAGAGUGAAGAUUGAAUGAAUAUGAUUAUGGAGAUGAUCAGAGUGUGCUGGAACUUUUUUACCAAAGGGCGAAAUGACCAUUAUGCCCUUGGUCGUCCCUCGCUUGGCCCUUCUAUACGUAGUAAUAGUAACAGUAAUAAUAUAUAUAUAAUUACGGUUGCAAACCAAAAAAAAAUAGUUGGUAGGCAUUCCAACUCAUUUUUCCUUUUACUUUUACUCCACCAAACUAAAAGGAGAAGAAUGAUGACGGCAGUAUGGACAACAAUGAUAGAGAUCAUCUUGCAGUAUACGGGGUUAUGGCCGACAACGUUCUUCACCCUUGUAGCAUUGAUGGUUGUAACUUACAAAGUUAUUUAUGGCAUUUGAUGACUUUGUUCCAUCAAAAGACCGUCUCUCCACCUCGACGACAUGACGGAAGAGGAACUUAGAGCUUAUAAUGGCUCUGACCCAAAAAAAUCAUUGUUGAUGGCUAUCAAAGGAAAGAUCUACGAUGUCUCUACCUCCAAGUUAGUUUCUCUCUCUCGCAGAAAAAAUAUUGAAUUUUUUUUUUGGGGAAAGAAGAGCUUAUUUACUUUGAUUUGAUUAAUUGUAUACCUUAUGAAUUUGAUGAUUUGAGCUAGGGCAAGACAUGAUAUAGAAGCUAUAGGAAUCUGAGUUCGUACCCAAAUCCAAUUCGCUAGCUCAAAUGCUCAAGAACAUCAUAUUAAAGCCAAAUGUACAGGAUAGGGACUUAUUUACAAGGUAUCAUUAGGGAAACUAUAUGCACUAUAACUAAGCAUCAACCUACUUAUAUAUUUUUCCAUUAAAUUUUUUAUUCUUCAUGACCCAAAGACUUACAACAGGGAAAGUUACAAAUACACAAAUUCCUAGCAUUUCUAAGGAAAAUAUCCUUUGAUGAUUAACACUCCAGAUCCUCCGAAGGAUUUCACGAAUCACAAUGCAAAAAAUAGUGUAACUGACUAAAAUCUUUAAUUUUGAACUGCUAGGACAGUAAGAAAGACUGCAAAAACAUCAUUUCUAGCUGCUAACUAGUCUCCUUAGUCAUUCUUCUCAUAAAAGAAACUAGUCAUAGCUUUGCAUACCUCUGUGUUAAGACUUGCUAAAGCCCAUAAAAAAAUUCUGUUAAUUUGCAAAGUAAGAAAGGGUGUGUAACACCCCAACUUGGGAUAAGGAGUCCCACAUCGGCAAAGCAAAGUAAGAAAGGGUAUAUAACACCCCAACUUGGAAUAAAGAGUCCUACAUCGGCAAAACAUAAGGGGGAUGCUAGGUAUAUAAGUAAGCAAGUCUUACUCCAUAGUGACACGUUUUAAAGCCGUGUGGGCCUGGGCCCAGAGUGGAUAACAUCACUAGUGGGUUAGGGAGUUACAGGGGUUUCUCGGGCCUUGAUGGUUCGGGAUUCUCAUCACGACCAGGGCCUCGGCUCGGGUCAUGACAAAAAUGGUAGCAGAGCCAGGUUUUUUAUGUUCAUAUUUGACCUGCUAACAAUUUAAACAACUAGUGACAUGUUUCAAAAUAUCAACUUUCAUACCUUUCCACCAGUACAACACGUGCAAGUCUUGAUACAUUUUCGUAGCACCAGGGUGGAUAGAGUUUCGCAAGUUGUGAGCCUCCUCAAGAAUCAGUUGCCUCACAUCACCCACAAUGGGAACACACAAUCUUCCAUGAAGAUGUAACACACCUUCACCAUCAAUAGUGAAAGACUUAACACCACCAUUCUGUACUCGAUCUCGAAUCCCAACAAGAUAGGGAUCAUUAUAUUAACAAGUCUUAACUUGCCCAACUAAGGACGACUGAACCACCAUAACUGCAAGUAACUUGCCAGGCACCGUGUGAUCAAUUCGAACUCCAUGAUUUACUAAAGACUCGAUAUCCAUAACCAAAGUUCGUCUUUCAUCAGUAAAUCGGGCCAAGCUGCCCAUAGCCUUUCUACUCAAAGCAUCUGCUACUAUAUUUGCCUUUCCAAGAUGAUACAAGAUAAUGAGAUCAUAAUCUUUAAGUAACUUUAACCACCGUCAUUGUCUCAAAUUCAGAUCUCUUUGCUUGAAUAAGUAUUGCAGACUCUUGUGAUCAGUAUAGAUUUCGCACAACUCAUCAUAAAGAUAAUGGUGGUAGAUCUUGAGUGCAAAUACAACCUCAGGCAAUUCCAAGUCGUGAGUUGGAUAAUUUUUCUCAUGGACCUUUAGCUGUCGAGAAGUAUACGCCACCAAUUUACCAUUCUGCAUUUAAACACAACCCAAUCCAAUUCGAGAUGCAUCACAAUAAAUAGUGAAACCACUUUUUGCCGUAGGUAAAGUCAAAAUUGGAGCCGAAAUCAAUGCCUUCUUUAAUUUAUGAAAACUUUUCUCACAGUCACCCGGCCAUCGAAAAACCACACCCUUUUGAGUUAAGCAUGUCAAUGGAGCAACUACCUUUGAGAAGCCCUCUACAAACCUCUUAUAAUAAUUAGCUGAACCUAAAAAGCUAUGUAUCUCUGUAACAAACAGUACUAGGUCGAGGCCAAUCUCGGACUACUUCAAUAUUUUUUGGAUUAACAUGAAUCCCAUCUCUUGACACCACAUGCCCUAAAAAGGAAAUCGUGCCCAAACAAAACUCACACUUUGAGAACUUGGCAUAAAGCUUGUGUUUUCUAAGUGUCUGCAGCGUAACUCUCAAGUGUUGUUCAUGUUCUACCUCACUCUGAGAGUAAACCAAAAUGUCAUCAAUGAACAUAAUAAAAAAUUGGUCUAAAUACUGUUUGAAUACCCUAUUCAUGAGGUCUGUAAAUGUUAUAGGUGCAUUAGUCAGUCCAAAAGACAUCACUAAAAAUUCAAAAUGUCCAUACCUGGUGAGAAAAGCCGUCUUAGUGAUAUCUUCGGCCUUGACUCUCAGUUGAUGAUAACCCGAUCUCAAGUCAAUUUUAGAAAAGUGAGUAGCACACUGUAACUGAUCGAAUAGAUCAUUAAUUUAGGGCAAGGGAUACUUAUUCUUGAUUGUCACCUUAUUUAACUGCCUAUAGUCAAUGCACAUUCUCAUCGUUCCAACUUUUUUUUCACAAAUAACACAGGUGCACCCCAAGGUGAUACACUAGGCCUGAUGAAUCCCUUAUCAAAUAACUCCUUGAGUUGAACCUUCAAUUCCCUUAACUCAGCAGGAGCCAUACCGUAAGGUGGAAUAAAGAUAGGUUGAGUCCCUGGCACUAACUCAAUGCUGAGCUCAAUUUUUCUUAUCAGAGGUAACCGGGCAAAUCAUCUGGUAACACAUCAAUAAACUCCCCAAAAAAAGGAACAUUAUUUAUAAAACUUCCUCUACUCGAGUGUUAUGAACGGUAGCAAUAAAACCCAAACAACCAUGAUUAAUCAUUUAUUAGGCUUUUACAUAGGAUAUUAUCUUCUCUUGAGUCACAUGAAUUAUACCUUCCCAUACUAAAGGUGGUUCUCCAGGAAUAUCAAAAUGUAUAAGCUUAGCAUAACAAUCAACCAAAGCAUAACAUGAUGACAACCAAUCCAUACCCAUGAUCACAUCAAAAUCAGUCAUUGGCAACAUAAGUAGAUCAACUAUGGUGUCCUUACCCUGAACAAAUAUCACACAAUCUCUAUACACUCUAUCCACUGAUAAGGUCUCCCCCACUAGGGUCGUAAUAAUAUAUGGAUCAAUAAGAGUCUCAAUCCUUCUCUCUAAGAAUAAAGCAAAAGAUAGGGACACAUACGAGUACGUUGAACCAGAAUCAAUAAGAGAAUAAGCCUCAUGAGAGUUUAUAGUGAUAAUACCUGUGACCACCGCAUUAGAUGCCUCGAUGUCCUGUCUAGCCAUAACAAACAAUCUCAGUGGUCCACCUGCUAUUUAAGAACCCUGAGCACUCUGUCGAUCCUAUCCACGAGCACCCUGUGGAGCUACCCUAGCUGGCUGAGUAUGAGCAUGAGCUCCUUCAAUAUCUCUCUAUAUUUGUGCAGUAGUUUGACUAAAACUAGAAUUUCCCUUAGGAUAAAACUUAGCAAUAUGCCCUCUUUCAUCACAAUAUAACAAGGACCACUAACUCCAAAACAAUGCCUACCAUGAUUUAUAUCACAAUUAGAACAUUUUGGAUGUUGUCCGGACUGAGAAGAAUUGUUAGUCUUUUACUGCAUUUGUUGCGGACCUUGUCUAGCUGGAUAACUAUUCCUUGAAGGUUGGCCCACUGACUCUGACUGCGUAAGCCUAGAUUGUCCAGGAUCAAAACCACUCUUGCUCCUAGACGGAGCACCACUAAGCCCACCUAAGUUACGUGUCUUCUUGUUUUCUCGAUUAAUCAUUUCCAUCUCAUAAUAGGACUCAGAACGGAGAGCAUGUUAACCAUAUCAGAAUAGGAUCCAUUACGUAUAUCCUGUAUCAUUGGACCAUGAUAACGAGCCUCAAGUCUAUCUCGUCUUACUUUAUCCCUCUAAUCUGCAACUAAAUAUAGAAUAUACCUGGACAACUUAGUAAACUUAACUUCGUACUUAGUGACUGUCAUAGAUCCCUAUCAUAAAUCAUUAAACUGGCGCCUUAUGUCAUCUUGUUUGCUCAGUGGAAUAAAUCUGUCCAUAAACAUAGCUAAAAACUCUGACCAAGUGAUUGGUGGUAGCCCUGCUUGUCUGCCCCUCAAAACAGAAGUCCACCAAGCCUCGGGAGACCCUGAGAACAGAAAAGUGGUAAAUUCUACACCGCGAGUCUCCUUUAAUCCCAAGGUAGACAAUAUCUUCUCACAGUAUUCUAAAAACUUUUGAGACUCAACAGAAGAUGGUGUAGCAUCAAACUCUAAUGGCUUAAGAUCCAUGAAAUUCUUAAGAUCCUUGGGUUGACCUACAACUGCAACCAAAUGACCAACUAUUUGAGGUGCUUGAGAAGUCGCAACAUUUAACUGAACUUGUGCCUGUGUUUGGGAAGUAGCCCGAGGAGCUGGAGCUCGACCUUGAUUAGGCACCAAUGCCUCAAGUACAUUCAACAUUCUUACCACUAUGUCUGCAGGCAAUGCAAUAGUUUAUAUAGCAACUGGCACUGCAGCUUGAGUAUCUCGAUCAACCCGAUCCUGCACUUGCUCAGAAGCCACAACUUGGGGUUGUCCCCCAUUCCCAACUCCAGGCUGAGCACCGGUCUGCAUCCUAGUUCGAGGCCUAGUUAGAUGAGACCCAACUCUACCACCACCACGAGUAGAAUCUUGCCCAGCACCACACCUAACAGGUGUAUUAGAUCGACUAGCGAAAGAAGAACCACGUCUCUUAACCAUCUGCGAAACAAUAUUUAAUGGUUAGACUUAAUUCAACUCAACCCAAGAAUAAUGAAUAAAAAGGGGAAAACUUCCUAGAUGUUUUAUAGCCUCAAGUUUAUAGUAUGGGCGCCUAUAUACUCCUGAACAAGAUUCUACUAAACACUACUCCAUUACCCGGGACCUAAAUCCUAGGCUCUGAUACCAACUUUGUCACAUCUCAAAAUAAACCCUAGGCGUGACUGGCUCCCAGUAACACCACUUGCUGGGAGAACCAAUUUUCUUUACAUUCACAAUGCUUACAAACACUGAGAUAAAGACAUAUACAACUCCACAUGCACAAAAUAAUAAUUAAUGCAGUAAUUAUCCAACAAGAUACCACAUAGCGAUUUAUAAAAGCGAUAAUAGUUUAGAUAACAAAUCUCUAACCCAAGUUGCACACUAAGUUCACGGAGCAUCUAAACAGAGUUAAAUAAGUUCAGCUUUUGGGCAUGUAAACCCAAGAAAGAGAAAUAUAAGCUAAAAAUAAUUAAAGAUAAAUGACAUCCUUCACAAACAAUGCGGAGGCUCACCUCAGCGGCAGAAUCCAUAUGUAAAGACAGUCAACCACGAGUCUCUCCCUCCACAACCAGUAUCUACAGAUAUGCAAGUAAGGAGUGAGCUAUAUAUAAAUAUAAUCCAGUAAGAUCCUCGACCCGCUACUUUAAUACCCCUGGAACAAGUGUUAGAAAAUACAAGGUACAACAAAAUACACAAAUAAUAUGUAUAUAAUAUCUCUCAUAAGGUAAUAUUAAUAAGGUCUAAAUGGAAGUUCAAAAAUGCCACUUUAUAUCUCAACUCAAUCCACUCUCAUGACUUGUAAUACACGGUAGUGAAGGUGAUCGUCCUAGCACCCUGAUAAGUGCACGACAACAUAUAUAAUGCCCUAAAAGUCUACUACGGCAACAUGUACAAACCCCUAACAUAUUACGGCAACAUAAGUAAUGCUCGUAACGCAUUACGACAGCUAUGUAUGACCCUAGAGACUAUAACAGUAGUGGAAAAAAUAUAUUCAACGCCCCAACCUCACCUCACAUUUCACCUCUAAAUAAUUCUUAAUAAACUUCACAAAAUACAUAUCCACAACUAGUCAAAGUCCAUAAAUUCUACCAAGUUCACUCUUGUCCCAACGCAUGGACUAGGCAGAAAAAUAUAAUUUUUAAUAAAGCAGAUUUGAAAAGAAAGAAUCAAAGCUUAAAGUUUCAUUUACCUUGCUAACGACAAUUUCCCCAACUUUGCAAUGUGUAGGACAUCAACCAAACAAUGAUCAAUCGGACCAAUCUAAACAAAAUAUUAAAUAACAAUAUUAAUUAUGCUAUUUUGGGAUUAAGUCUCAAUAUCCCUAACCUUUAAACUUAGAGUUAUACCUUAAAAUCUCACAUCGUAUACAUUGAAUUAACGAUGAUAAUAUUUCAAUACAACUAUCCGAACAUGAUACCAAUGGUAAGGAAAAGAAAAUUUCCAAACAAACUUUAGCUUUGCUUACUGCUAGUUACUCCCAACAUUGAAAAUCAUUGUUUUCUCAUGCUAAUGAACCCAAAGUUAAUUGCUAAUUCAAUUCCUCUUUGGGUGAUCACGACUGAAGUAAUACAACCUUCAUUAUAGACCAAUCACAAACCUUAACUAUUUAUAUUCUAUCGCUAACAUCAUGAGCAAACAUCUGCACUAUUGUACGCAUAUUCGAUUCCCAUGACAAAGAACAAUGAAAAAAAAAAGAUAGUCCAUGUCUUACAGAGAAGUUUCAACCACUUCUAUUUCUCCAAUUUAUAUUUUUUUCCUAUGCUGCUUACUGUUCUCUUCCCAGAAUAAUGGGAUUAAAAACUGGCCCUAAUGUUCUAUUUAUGCUGAUCUUAACGUGAAACUGAAAAAGGCUUUUGGCUUGUCCCCUUUUAAUUCCUUAAUUACUAUUACUAAUUGGUUAUAAUUACCAAUUAACCCUUAAUUAAAAGGAAAUAAUAAGUUGGGGUAUUACAAUCUCCCCCACUUAAAUAACGUUCGUCCUAGUGUUUUAGAUGGAGAAAGGCAACGAAGCCCCGCCUCGCCACGCGGUAAGGCGAGCGGCGAGGCGAUCGCCUUUUAAAUGUGCAGCGAUAAUUAAUACAAAAAAUUAAAAUAAUAUAUAAAUGAUCAAAAUUUUAAUAGCACUAAUACAUUAGGAAAUAUUUCAAGUCAAUAAAUAUUUCAGUGCUUACUGCUUAUAGCUUACUGUUAGUCUGUUAUAGUGAAUCAGUGACAGUGUGUUAUAACACUGUAUUACUAUUAUAGAAUAGAAAAACAGAAAAAGUGAGGGAAAAAAACAGCAUGCCAAUGUUCAGCCACCGGAUUAAGAAAGAGAAGAAAAAAGAAGAAAAAAAAUGGAAAUCAAGACUUACCGGAGUAGGAGGAGUCACUGGAGUAGCGUCGUCGGUCGCCGGAGUUGAAGUCAAACUUGUGAGUUGUGAGUAGGUAGCAGCCGCAGUUGCCAAUGAGUAAGUUGGUAUAGCCAAAAUAUGAAAAUAAGCCCUAAAUUAACUUUUAACCCUAAAACCCUAAACUUUUUUACAAAAAUUAAAAGGCGACGCUAUUGUCACCUCGCCUUGUUGCCUUUCUCAAAAAAGUGUCGCCUUUCUCGAAAAAGCAUCGCCUUUCUCAAAAAAGCAUCGCCUUUUGGAUUUUUCCUCACCACAAUGACAAGAGGCGACUAUGACUCGCCUUGUCUCGCCAUUCGACAUUGGCGACGUGGCGAGCGCCUUCACAACAUUGGUUCAUCCUCGAACGGGUCGAGAAUCAUACCGGAAAUGUCAAAUAAGUAAGUAUAUCUAACUCGCAUCUCCUCUUCGAACUCUAAGUAGCUUCCUCGAUUGGAUGAUUACGUCAUAAUACCUUGACUGAAGCUAUCUUUUUUCACCUUAACCAUUGCACUUGCCUAUCAAGAAUAACUAUCGGGUUUUCCUCAUAAGUCAGAUUCUCAUCAUGCUCUACAUCCUCUGGCUGGAUCUUAUGGCUAUCAUCACAAACAUACCAUCUAAGCAUAGACACGUGAAACAAAGGAUAAACUGCAGACAAUCUCGGAGGUAAAGUAAGCCUAUAUGCCACCAAUCCAAUUCGGUCCAAAAUCUCAUAAGGACCAAUGUAUCUAGGACUUAGCUUACCUUUCUGACCAAAUCUCAUAACUCCUUUCAUGGGAGAAACUUUCAAAAAAACUUUUUCCCCUUUUUUAAACUCCAAAUCACAAACCUUUUUAUUUGCAUAGGACUUCUACCUGCUUUGUGAUGUCUUAAGUCGGUCCCGUAUCACUGCAACCUUCUCCAAUACUUGCUAAACUAAAUCUGAACCUAAUAAAUGUACUUCGCCUGGCUCAAAACACUUGCGACCAUAUAAAGCCUCAGAUGGUGCCAUUUGAAUGUUUAAUUGAUAGCUAUUAUUAUAAGCAAACUCUGCCAAAGGCAGAUGAUCAUCCCAAUGGCCACCAAAAUCAAUUGUGCAAGCUCUAAGUAUGUCCUCCAAGAUCUGAAUAACUCGCUCAGACUGCCAGUCUGCGGAUGAAAAGCUAUACUGAACUCAACUUGCAAACCCAAUGAUUUCUGAAAAGAUCUCCAGAACUCAGCAGUAAGCUAUGCACCUCGAUCAGAUAUGAUUGAGAUUGGCACACCAUGAAGCCGAACUAUCUCCUGAAGGUAAAUUUUUGCUAACUGCUUUAGGCUAUAAGUAACUCGAACUGGUAUGAAAUGGGCAAAUUUUGUAAGUCUAUCCACUAUCACCAAAAUCAAGUCGUUUUUCCUGAAAGUAUUUGGUAACCCAACAAUGAAAUCCAUAGUAAUCCUUUCCCACUUCCACUCUAGAAUAAUCAAUUUUUGCAUUGUUCCACCUGAUUUGCUCCUGUGUCAGCCUUGUUGAUGUGGGCUAGAGUUUAAACUGAGUGUAGGAGAUUCCCAGUUAGGCUGGAGAAACCUCAGUCCUGAGUCUAGGAAAAUCUCAUCCGGUGGGGUAAACCUCAGCGAGGAUACUGAGUCCAUAAGUGGGUGUAUGUAAGACCCCAACUUGAGAUAAGGAGUCCUACAUCAGUAAAACAUAAGAGGGAUGCUGGGUAUAUAAGUAAGCAAGCCUUACUCCUUAGUGAUGCGUUUUAAAGCUGUGUGGGCUUGGGCCCAGAGCAGACAAUAUCACUAGUGGGUUAGGGAGUUAUAGGGGUCUCUCGGGCCUUAAUGGUUUGGGAUGCCCUUCACGGCCAGGGCCCCAGCUUGGGUCGUUACAAGGUGAAAAUCAGCCCGACCUAGUAGAAGUCUCAUGUAUGCUUAACCAUCAAGGCACCAUGUAAAAAGUAUAGUUGUAUCAAGUUGAAAACCAUGGCAAAUAUAUUCUUUCUAUAACUUCAUGUAUUAUCAAAAACUCAUUUAAGGUGCACUGAAAAACUCACACUUUAUGGAACUAUACUGGGUGACUUUGAUGAAUUUAGUAUUACUGCUCUUGAGAAUCAGCUUGCUACUUGUGUUGUUAAUAUUUGUGAUGCUGAUGAAAGACUCCAAUCCAAAUGGAUUGUUGUGAUCUUUCAAAGAAAAUUAGUUUAAACAAACAAGAAUUUAAAGUUUUUUUGAUUAGUGAAACGAGAUUCAAUUCUUCCUGUUGCCGAUGGAAGAACUUUCAACAAUGACAUUUACCAAGAAUGACAUGUGGAAUAGAAGAAAUGAUGGUCUUCUAGCAAUUCUUGGUGCCUUAUCUAUAAUCUAUAAUAUAUUAAAAGUGUGAAGGGCCUUAAAAAUAUUGUUUGAACUUUUUGUCCUUCAUUAAAAGUCUUUAUUUUAGACAAAAUCAUCUUUUUACUAUUUUUUCCUAAUAUUUAAGAGUUGAAAAUUAACUAAAUAUAUUUAUGGUAAAACCUUUCCUUAUUAAAAGUCAUUAGAAUUAAUGGCAACUAAUACUUUUCAAUUAGUUUAAGAAUUCUAAAUUAAUUAAAUUUGAUUUUAAAAAUAUUUUAAUAAUCUAAAAAUAAAUAAAAAAAUGUUAGAAUAAGAAAAUUUAAGAAUGUAAUCGAAAGAAGAAAAAAAUUUAAAUAUAGAAAAGAAAAGAAAUAAUCGUACUACAAAUAUGGUUUAAAUUGAUGCAUCUCUCUUAGCCUCUAGCAGCAAGGGAAAAGGAAAAGAGAUACUGCAUGACAAACGUAAAAGUGAUGAUCCAUCAACCACUUGAAACUUCUGGUGGUAAAAUAUAUAUGUGCCUUACACUAAAAUAUAUGUUUAUGUUUACAUAUUUUUUUUAUAUAGAAAGGUGAGUUGAAUUACGACCAAGGGUAUUAUUGUAAUUUCACAACUAAUAUAAUGGCAUUUUAGACAUUUUGUGCAUCUAUAAUUAUAUAUAAACAUCUAGACAACUAUGAUCUAUGGCCAGAGAUGCAUCUAGGAUUUCAAACUUGUGGGUUUCCAGUAAAAUAAAUUAAUAUGUAAUAAUAUAAUAAAAAAGACAACACUCUAGUGGGGAUCGAUCCCAUGGUCAUGGAAAUAAGCAAUUCAAGGGUCCAUUCCAUGCCAUUAAGCCAACAUUCUUUUUGUUUAUGGGUUCCCAUCUAUAACAUUUUAUUUACUUAUUCUAUUUUUUAUUAUAUUUACCAAAUCUACGGUAGCGAGUAGGGGUUCUUGAGAACCCCUACACAACACUGUAGAUCCGCCCGUCUAUGGCUGUUCUUUUUCUUCUGCAUCUCUUUUGUUCGAUCAGCUCCUCCAUGGCUGCACUUCAAAUUUAACUUAGUUACUCAAGUAUUAUUUAUGUUUAACCUGCGACAUCAGCGUUCUUCUGCUAAUUUUUUAUUUUCCCUUCCUUCCUAUUUUUGGUGAUGUUGGCAAUUCUUUUGAGGUCCAUUUUUAGUUUACUACUCUAACAAUGCCCUAAAUUCAAUCUGCAAAACCCAAUGAACUAUAGUUUUCUUCCAACUUUUUUAACUAUAGUUUUCUUCUAGUUUUUCUAGAGGGUUAACAGAUAACCUGAUAAGCUUUAUUAGAAUAAAUUUUUCCAUGUAAUCAUUAGUGAAUAUUUUCAAAUAAUCUAAUCAGACAUAGCUUUUUAUUUAUGUAAUCUACCAUAAAGAGCCUCUUUUAAUGAUUAGUUAGUACAUCUAACAUCUAGAAACCAAUAAACUUUGAUAUUUUGUAACCACUAUCUAUAAUUGAUAUGUAAGUUUCACAAUGUGAUCUACGAUUAACUUAAUGUCAGUUUAUCACACAAACUAGAUAUAUUGUACAACAGGCUUGGACUUCUCUUUUGCAAUAACCUAUUAAUUCAUACAAACACUAGAGGUAGAUUAUAGAUAAUUAUAUAAAGAAAGGUUUGGGUAUAAUAAAUUCAUUUUACUUAAUGCUUGACAUGAGGAAAAGUGAGGCUAGAGGCAAUACUAAUUUAUAAGCUGCAAACUUUGAACAUUUACUUAGAAUAUAAUGCUUGGUUUCUUUUUUCCUUUUUAGUUAUCUUCUAUUCAAGUACUUCACUUAGUUAAUCUAUGAACACAAAUUUGGUGAUCUUUUUGAUAAGAAGUGAGAAGACUAAAAGCCUAUUUGAUUUAGAUUGUGAUCAAACUUAUUUAGUAGCUUUCGUGUCAAAUGCCUUGUAAGGGGAAACUAUGCAAUCAACUUGGACCAUUAAUUCAAACAAGUUAGUGUAGUUUAUUAAAGGCAGAAUUGUAAUUUCUAGAUACUUACUUCAAGGAGGCUAAGAUAGCAGUCACUACUGCUAAGUCAGCAGCGUUUAAGAGUUUGUAUAAGGGGUUAGACGAGAAAGGUGGGGAGAAAAGGUUGUUUAGGCUUGACAAGGUUUGGGAGCAGAAGGGUCGUGAUCUGGACCAGGUAAAGUGCAUUAAGGGGGAGGAUGACAGAGUUUUGGUGAAAGACACCCUCAUUAAGAAAAGAUGGCAGUCAUAUUUUCAUAAGCUCUUGAAUGAUAGGGGGACAGAGGUAUUGUGUUACGGGAGUUGGAGCAUUUUAGAGAGUGUCACGACUUUGUCUUUAGUCGACAUUUUAAGGUAGAAGAGGUCAGUGAGUCUAUUUGCAAGAUGCGAAGGGGCAGGUGAUGGGUCCCGAUGAGAUUUUGGUAGAUUUUUUGAAAUUCUCUAGCAAGUCCGGGUUGAGGUGGCUGACCAACUUGUUUAACAAAAUUUUCAAGUUAGCAAAGAUGCUUGAGGCUUGCAGAUAGAGCACGAUGAUUCCUUUAUAUAAGAACAAAGGUAAUAUUCAGAGUUGCAACAACUACCAGAGUAUUAAGUUGUUGAGUCACACGAUUAAGAUUUGGGAGAGGGUGGUGGAGCAGAGGUUGAGGAAAAAUAUGUUUAUUUCAGAGAAUCAACUUGGUUUUAUGCCUGGUCGCUCCACGAAUGAGGUAAUUCACCUUGUACGAAGACUGGUAAAGUAGUAUAGAGAGAGGAAGAGGGACCUUUACAUGGUAUUUAUUGACAUAAAAAAGGCCUAUGACAACAGGAAGGUUCUUUAGAGAUGUUUAGAGGUGAGGGAGGUCUCGGUAGCGUACACCAGAGAGAUUAAAGACAUAUAUGAGGGAGCGAAGAGUCAGGUAAGGACAGUGGAAAGAGAUUCAGAGCAUUUUUCAAUAUUGAUAGGGUUACAUCAGUGAUCAAAUCUUAGUCCAUUUUAUUCACUUUGGUGAUGGAUGUUCUGACAUGGAAUAUACAAGGCAAGGUGCCUUGGUGUAUACUUUUCGCGGAUGAUAUAGUUUUUCUUGAUGAGUCACAACAAGGAGUUAAUGAUAAGUUGGAGGUUUGGAGACAAACCCUGGAGGAUAAAGGUUUCAGAUUGAGUAGGACCAAGACAGAGUACUUGGAGUGCAAUUUUAAUGACUCGAGGCAAGAGGAGGAGGUGGUAGUGAAGUUAGAUUCUCAGGUGGUUUAUAAGAGGAAGAGUUUUAAGUAUCUCGGGUCUACAAUUUAGGGAAAUAGGGAGAUAGAUGAGGAUGUAUCUCACCGUAUUGGGGCAGGUUGGAUGAAAUGGAGGCUCACUUUAGGAAUUUUAUGAGAUAAGAAGAUGCCCCCAAGGUAAAAGGAAAAUUCUAUAGAGUUGCAGUCCGGCCUACUAUAUUGUAUGGAGCGGAGUGUUGGCCAGUUAAGAAUUCUCAUAUCCAAAAAUUGAAGGUGGCGGAAAUGAAGAUUGGAUGUGUGGAUUUACAAGGGCUGAGAGAGUUAGGAAUGAAAUUAUUUGAGAGAAGGUGGAAGUGGUGUUAUUGGAGGAUAAAAUGCAGGAAGUGAGGUUGAGAUGGUUUGGUCAUGUGAUGAGGAGGGGCACGAAUGCUCCAGUUCGUAGGUGUGAGAGGUUGGCCUUGGAUGGUUUCAAGCGGGGUAGGGGUAAACUGAAGAAAUACUGGAGAAAAGUGAUUAAACAUGACAUGAAGCAGUUACAGCUGACUGAGGAUAUGACCCUGGAUAGGAAGAUAUGGAGAAUAAGCAUUAGGACAGAGGGCUAAGGGUGUGGAUGAGUAGUAGUCAGUAAUUAAGUGGAUUUCGGUGUCCUUUGUUUGGCAAUGUAAAUUUUUUUUAUGGAUGUCAUACCUAUGUUAUUUUAUCAUGUUCUAUGCUUUGGAUGCUUCUGUAUGCUACCUUUCAUCUUGAGCCGGGGGUCUAUCAGAAACAGCCUCUCUACCUCUUUUGAGGUAGUGGUAUGGACUACGUACACUAUACCCUUCUCAGACCCCACUGUGUGGGAAUAUACUGGGUUUGUUGUUGUUGUUGUUAUUAUUGUCAAUUAUAUGAAAAAAAUUACAACUUAUAUCAGUUGAACCUAUACGAGCUGCCGUUCAUGAACGAUACUCAAGAAAUAGUUAACUGAUGAUCAAUAUCUUAUUUGUUCAUUUUUCGACUUGAACUGAUAACAUUCAAAAUCAAUAUGCUGGACCAAUAACAUUUACGACCGAUAACAAAUCCACUUUGUUUAUACCUCUAGAACCAUCCAUCUUCAGUCGGUCAUACUCCAAGAAAAUACCUCUUUGCUCUCGAUAGUAAAAUAUAUAAAUUCUUCAUAGUCUUCAAAAUAUCAGGUAUAUUUUUCUUCUUCCAAAUUUAUUUCAUCUUUCUUCAAAUACUUGAGUUUUACGACUGAAAUCUAGGGUUGAUGUCGUUAUUGUUCUUCAUAAUUCUCCCUUCUAUUUUUAUGGCCGAUAUGAUGAUCUAGGUUGUCCUCGAAUACAUGUAACCUUUUUUACACAGUUGCAGAUUCAUCCAUAAAGAAAAUAGAUUAUUGGGUUGUGCCAUAAAGAGUUCACAUAGAAAUUCAAUUGUUUUUUUAUAAUUAGGUAUGUCCAUACCGAUUGCUAAAGGUUGUCGAUGAGUUAAUAAAUAUUACAGUUUGAAUUCAGUUAUUUUAUACUCUAGCUCUAUAUUUUUUUUUAUCUCACUCUUUUUCUGUAUUACUGUCUAUGAUAUCGAUAUUUCUUAUAGAUGACAUAGGAUGUUGUUAGGUUUAAAGUAAUUAUGUCCUUCCGACAGAGAUAGAAAUUGAAUUAUUGGGAUCGAUGACUACUGCGCUGAGAGCUUCUCUUCUUCUACUCGCUAUGCGGAAUCUCACACACAUACAUAACUUAUAAAAAUUGUGAGCUUAUUUAUUUGUUUUAUGAUAUUUACUUUUACAUUAAGAAAAUUAUUAUGAUUCCACUACUUUUUGCUAUUACUUGUGCAAAAAAAGAAUGUAAAGAUGAAAUUUGAUUAUAUCCUAAUCAGUUGUGAAAUUUUUUAUUUCUUUUUUGUGGUCAUACACCAUUUUAGACAUAAUAACUUAGAUAACUACUUUAUUACCUUAGCUUCUGCGGUAUAAAAAUAAUUUUGAAAAACAAUCAACUUACUCAUCCAUUUGAAAGUAUUUGGAACUGUGUCUUCAAUAUGUAAUUGAUUUGAUAGACAAAUAAUUCAUUAAGAGUUUGACGCACGUAGCGAAUACCUAGAGGAUCCACUGUUAUCCUACUUAGAACUUAAAUAAGCCCCCAACAAAUUUCACUAAUUCCGACAACUUCGUGAUGGAGGUAAGAGGUUAUAAAACUGUAUAUCAUUAUAAGAACCUUUUUGGUAUAACUUCAUUAUCGUGGCUAAUUUUACAAGUAAUGAAUUUAGUCGUAGAUCGGCCCUCUGUUAGUUGAAGAAGCACCUUCUUAAGAUUUCUUAUAACUUUUAAAGUUGUGAUUUGUGAAUUUGAUAUAUAGUCAUUGGAUGCUUAAAAGGAAAAAACUUCAUAAUAUUCCAUUUGUCUUAUAUUUGUUAAGGUUGUUGCUCUAUGCUUAUAUAUUGUUUUGAUUUAAAAGGAUGACUUUCACUUUACUUUUGAAGAAACUUUAACUGAGCUACCAGAAAAAUGAUAAACACUACCUUGAAAUCUACUGUUAUAGUCAUUUUUAUUUGGUUGAUCAUUUUCGAAUCUUCGAUGAAUUUUUUGUUAAAAAAAAUAGUUAAUAGGACAAAAUGGUUGAUUGUAUCGCAGAUAUUGACCUAGUCUCUUCACAUAUUGAAAAGAAAUCUCCUGAGAAGCUUGAAGUUUCAUUACUUGAAAAACACUUACACUUUUUAUACCUACUUUUCCUUGUAAUAUCUCCUGACUAUUCAAUAAAAAUGACAUCACUCCAUUUUGAGAUUAGUCAACCUGCUAAUCGACUUUUCCAAUAUCUUUCUAAAAUGACUUUUCUUAUGCAUCUUAUUUUCUCAACUAAUAUACUUUAAGAUAAAAAGUUAAUAGAAAAUGAAGAGCACAGUAGAUUUCGCGCGACUCAUGCAAAUAAUUGAUUGUUUAUUACUAGAAUUGUGAAAGAACAUACAAUAAUGUUUCAGUUUCAAACAGAAUAAUGUGCCUAACUUCACCAUUAAGAUCCUAAAACUUGUUUUUGUGAAAUGAAGCCUUCCCUCUUUGAUGUUUUCUUAUUUUGUUUCUUAGAUUUAUGAAAUGCCUAUUGAAUAAGGAUGGUCUCCGAGCCUAUAAAUGCGACCAGAUUUUUAGUAUUAUCAUGAGAUACACACGUAAUAAUAUAUGCAAGAAAAAUAUUCAUUACAACAGUAAAUGUCAAUAGGACCAUGGCCGUUAUGCUCUCCAGUAAGAUAUAAGUUAGCUUGUUGUUCUCUUGAACUGGUGUUGUAGAUACCCUGUAGUUAUUGUUGAGCACUGUUGAACACAUUGUUGCUAUUGUAUCUUAAAUGUUAUUGGACACAUUUUUUUGUUGCUAUUUUGAAAUGCAGUUGAAGAACUUUUUUUUGUUAUUUUUGUGUGAUGAGUCGUUGUUGUUGCUGAAAUUUGAUGCAAUUAAAAUAAUUUUUUCUUCUCUUUUUUGGAUAUUGAUGAGAUCAUUUUGGAUACUUUAGGUUGAUUCACAUGUUUACUAUAUUUCUAUGGCACUACCAGUUAUCAAGUUACCACAUUACUAAUAACACAUCCUUUUUUUAGUUUAUUAACACAACAAUGUCCAUUACAACCCGAAUGUUGUGAUGUAAGAAAAUACAUGGCUUGAAUAGGAGAGAAGCUAGUUGCAAUUUAAAACUUAGAAUUUUUACACUUUAUUUAUUUUGAGAUAUGGGAUGCUAUUAUUUGAUCACAUUAUUAUAAUACUGACAUUUGAUCACCAAUUCAUAAUUUUACAGGCAUUUAUCAGUCAAAAAAAAGAUUUAUCACAACACAAAAAUUAUGUUAACUUUGGACAAUGUAGAAAUAGAAUAUAAAUGUAUUACUCUCUUUAUGUAAAUGGCUACUUUAUUAUUCAGUAGUAUGAUUCUCAUGGAUGUAUAAAGAACACAUCUGACAACCCUACUAUAUUUAGGUGCGUCAUAUUGUGUACUAAAAUUCCGCAUAUAUAAUAAUAUUC
rnacentral:lncRNA from 1 species